rnacentral:tRNA from 1 species
GAGGGCUUAGCUUAAGUUAAAGUGUCUGUUUUGCAUGCAGUAGAUGUAGGAUUAAAUCUUGCAGUCCUUA